AUGAACGCUGGCGGCGUGCCUAAUACAUGCAAGUCGAGCGAACAGAUGAGGAGCUUGCUCCUCUGACGUUAGCGGCGGACGGGUGAGUAACACGUGGAUAACCUACCUAUAAGACUGGGAUAACUUCGGGAAACCGGAGCUAAUACCGGAUAAUAUAUUGAACCGCAUGGUUCAAUAGUGAAAGACGGUUUUGCUGUCACUUAUAGAUGGAUCCGCGCCGCAUUAGCUAGUUGGUAAGGUAACGGCUUACCAAGGCAACGAUGCGUAGCCGACCUGAGAGGGUGAUCGGCCACACUGGAACUGAGACACAGUCCAGACUCCUACGGGAGGCAGCAGUAGGGAAUCUUCCGCAAUGGGCGAAAGCCUGACGUAGCAACGCCGCGUGAGUGAUGAAGGUCUUCGGAUCGUAAAACUCUGUUAUUAGGGAAGAACAAAUGUGUAAGUAACUAUGCACGUCUUGACGGUACCUAAUCAGAAAGCCACGGCUAACUACGUG
rnacentral:rRNA from 1 species